rnacentral:rRNA from 1 species
AUUGAACGCUGGCGGCAGGCCUAACACAUGCAAGUCGAACGGUAACAGGAAACAUCUUGCUGUUUCGCUGACGAGUUUCUGACGGGUGAGUAAUGUCUGUGAAACUUCCUGAUGGAUUGGGAUAACUACUGGAAACGGUAUCUAAUACCGCAUAACGUCGCAAGACCAAAGAGGUGUACCUUCUGGCCUCUUUCCAUCGGAUGUUCCCAGAUGGGAUUAUCUAGUAGGUGGGGUAACGGCUCACCUAGGCGACGAUCCCUAGCUGGUCUGAGAGGAUGACCAGCCAGACUGGAAAUGAGACACGGUCCAGAAUAAUACGGGAGGCAGCAGUGGGGAAUAUUGCACAAUGGGGGAAAGGCUGAUGAAGAAAUGCCGCGUGUAUGAAGAAGGAAUGCGGGUUGUAAAGUACUUUAAGCGGGGAUGAAGGGGGUAAAGUUAAUACCUUUGCUGAUUGACGUUACCAGAAGAAGAAGCACCGGCUAAAUACGUG